UAGAGAAAUUUAAUUUGGUGUAGUGUUAAAGAAUAUAAUCAUGGCUCUGCAAAGGUGUGGCAAUAACGUUGGUUUUGUUGCUGUUUUCAUAGUUCUAAUGGUGGUUUCUUCUGCCCCUGAUCUCAUGCUAAUUACUACCUCCCAUGCAGCUCGUUUGGCCAAAAUAGAUCCACCAAUGUGUCCUCAAUGCAUGUGUUGUAGUUCACCACCACCAGGGUUUUGCUGUGAUUGCUGCUCCAAUUCUCAGUUGCCACCAUGAAUAAAAUUCAUCUUCGUUACAUGUAAUUACCUAUGAUAUGUAACAUUAUUAAAUAUUUCAUAAUCCAUUAUAUUGGAUUAGUAUUUAAGCUUUAUAUAUAUAACUAUUAUGUAACCCUACUACUCUAUUUUAUUACCCUUGCUCUAUAUAUAUAACAAUAGAAAUUAUUUAAAA